UGAUUUUGUGUGUGUGUUUCCCCCCAUAGCUUUGUCCAAGAGUAAUAAGCCAAUCCACACUAUUAUCCUCAAUCCCCAUGUCCAUCUUGUGGGCGACGAUGCUGCCUGCAUUGCAUACAUACGGCUGACGCAGUACAUGGACGGAAGUGGAAUGCCAAAGACUAUGCAGUCCGAGGAGACCCGGGUCUGGCACCGCCGUGAUGGCAAAUGGCAGAAUGUUCAUUUUCAUUGUUCAGGGUCACCAACAGUACCGAUCAACUAAAAUUCUACAAUGCCACUCUUGCUUUCUCCGUACUCAAAGCACCUGAUUGGUUACCAUGUGGGCCAUCCUGUUCUUCUCUUCAUGCAUGUUUCUGAGUGCAUGAAGCUGUGACGGUUCUACAUGUAAUGCAUUUGAUGCAUCAUUUUGUUGUAUAUUUCAUCUGUACAUUUUGUUUACACUUCAGCAAAUUGAAAAUGACAAAACAAAACAAAAAAUCAGUGUACAGUAGUAGAUACACAAUCCACUUGUCAUUUUUCUUUAUUAAUGCUAAGUUUUAACAAAUAACUUUAAAAUUACUAUGUUUAUAAAAAAGAAAAAAGAGUACAUGUUCUCAUUUUGUUUUUGUUUUUUUAAACAACUGUUUUUUGGCUUAUUUGUUUCCAAAACCACUGGGUUUUGCUUUGGGUCAUAGUAGAAAUCGAUGAGAUUUCCAGUUAGAGCUUUGCUAAUGCUGCAGAAUAGUUUUGUUGGAACACAAAGAUGGAUAAAAUCACUGAUGAAUGUGAAAGCAAAUAUAUGUUGGAUUGGUACCAACUGAAGCCAUUUUAGUUAUUAAACUGGAAAAAUUGUAUCAUUUGCUGGCUUGAACACUUUAGAAUUAACUUCUACUAUUCUGGCCAGUAACAUUUUUUGUCUUUCUGUUUUGAUUCUUUACCUUUACUUUUUUAUGCUAACUGAAAAUUUAUAUUGGAUGAUAGAAGAGCAAAAUUAAAAUUUAUGAUGAUUAAAGUGAAAGAAUAAAACAAAAUAGAUUUUUAUCACUUUCAGGGUGUACAGUAAAUUUAUUAAGGAAGCUUUAGAGGGUUAUUUUAUUUUGUUUAUGCUCUAGUCCAGAUAUGUGGUUAGUUUAACCUAGAAAUAUUAGGCCUUACAAGCUUAGUAUAAAGAGUUUGUUUACUUUCCAUUGUAGCGGCUACUACUCUGGAAAACCAUCAUGAAUAUACCAAUUUUCUAAUAAUACUGUAACACUUUACAAUGGUGUUUUUCCCCCCAUUUUCUCUUGGCUUAUUAAAAUCCUUGCACAGUGCGUAAUAUUAGGGACAACAACUAUUGCAGCAUUACUUACUAACUCUUUGGUUUUUUUCUGUUGCUGCAUACACCUGUACAGUAAGCAGGGAAUGCUCUCGGUGUCAAUUUAAAACAUAUACUUUGUGACCUGGACUGUUUUUGCUUCUGUUUUAUAGCUGUGAAUGUAUAUUCCUGCAAACAUUUAGAUUUAGUCUCCCUCCUUUCCCCCCCACCCAUUUUUAAUAGAAAAAUAGAGGGGUUGUCUGUUCCCUUUUUUUUUGCUGUUGUUCAUUGUUUUUAUUAUCAGUGGGGCUAAAUGUUUUCUGCAGUGCUGUAUAGUGCAUGAUAUCUCAAUCAGUGUUCUUUUUAGCAAUUACAAUUUACAGCUCUCAGCAGCCUGACAUUUUUAAAAUGGGAAGACUUCCUAAUUUGUAUAAUUUUACUUUCUGUGUUGAUUAUAAAUCAAAAACGUUCCUUUACACUUUGAUGUUGUUAUUAGUGGAUGUACAGUAGAUGGAUUUAAGCUUCUCUGAUAAUAUUACAUGAUUUUAAAAAAAUGUAUAUUUAAAAUAAGCAUUUACAGUAAAUGUGUUGAGCCAUAUUAACCUGCCAAUGGGAUCUGUGAAAAACAAAAAAGUAAUGGCCUAAUUUUUUUCUCAUUAAUUUCUUUACUUUUUUUGUGAAGCAGCUAUAAGUAGUAUAAAUGUAUUUAAAUUUAACAAAAUUAGGUGUAGGGUGGGGUUUUUUUUUUUUACAUUUUUAACAUAGCAUGUGGUGUUGACGUAUUACUGUAGAUCAAGUUUGUCUUCCACAGCAAGACGUGAGGAAAUUGUGAUUCGUUCUCUCCACCACAAUCGAAUUAUACACUUGUCUUCUGUCAUUUUGGAACACUGCAGUUUACCAUGGGACACAGUGUACAUAUUUCUUGCCAUAAUGGUAAAUGACUGACAAAUAUAUUUAAGGAUUAAUAAAUUUGUGAUUUCUGCUGA